UUUUGAUUGAGUUUGUUAUGGCCAACCUUUUUUUAACGGUUUUGAAAUUGCAUUCAUUCAAUCCAGGAACAAUAUUGUUAUUCUUCACAGUCACAACUAGAAUGAAUGAGCCACGAUACACUAUUAUUUUUUGACGAUGCGGGUUCAGUUGAACCCACUUAUCACCACUUGGAUCCGCCCCUGGGCUCGAUAGAGAAGGUAUGCAAGUGGUUUCGAACUCUAGAUCUUCCAUUUGGUAAGUCUCUUACUCAACCAACUCGGCCACCCGAAAGGAUUAUUGGCAUUGAGUCCCGUGCGAUGGGCUCGAUAGAGAAGGUAUACAAGUGAUUUCGAAUUCUAGAUCUCCUAUUUGAAAAGCCUCUUGCUCAACCAACUCGGCCACCCCGGAGGAUUUAUUGGCAUUGAGUUAGGACAGAUCACUUGUCAUGUUAGAAUUUUGCCACUCUAUCAAUUUCAUGUAAAAAAAAAAAAAAUUACCCCGUAAGAAGCAUAGCAUUUAAGCCCUCAUACCAUAUCUUCCUUUGCAUAACAUUUACCAAAGCACUACGUACAUAACCUAAAGUUUGAAAAAUGUUGGCUUGUACACUUAUUUCAAUAUGGGAAUCGUCAUCCAAUUAUUCACUGUUCCAGUAAGUUUGAAGCAAAUACUGGGUAGUACGUGAAUCCCAACUCCUAAUAUUCCUAGCAAAUUUAAUUUGGACUAUGAACGAAAAAAGGAAUUGGUGCUUUCAGUUUCACCACUUUAAACUUAAAAAGGGUUUAUGUGGUAGCGACUAAGGUGGAAUUACGUUAUAGUUGAUGGUAGAAGAAAGUGAAAGAACCAAACUUAAGACUCUGAAAAAACGAACAUUACACUACAUAUGCUUCAACUACUAUUCAUCUUCUCAAUCGUAUCUUAUCAUGUUCCUUGGCUCGCUCAAUACGUACUUCGGUAGUUCAUAUUUAGUACCUGCAACAAAGUUUUCUAUUAGCAAUCAAAUAACUAGAAAAAUAAAAAAAGUAGUUUGUUAUCUUUGGGAUUAGUCUAAAUAGUCCUUAAAAUAUACAUAUGAGCAUAAUUUACUGCUUUGUAAAAUCGAACAAUUUUGGUCUUUGUUAUGUUUAAAACACAUGAGAAUAAUUAUAUUUGAUCGAACUGGCCCGUGAGAAGCAUGUGAACC
rnacentral:lncRNA from 1 species